rnacentral:rRNA from 1 species
ACGGGAGGCAGCAGUGGGGAAUAUUGGGCAAUGGGGGGAACCCUGACCUAGCAACGCCGCGUGGAGGAAGAAGGUCUUCGGAUCGUAAACUCCCGUCCUAAGGGAAGAGUAGAAGACUGUACCUUAGGAGGAAGCCCCGGCUAACUACGUGCCAGCAGCCGCGGUAAUACGUAGGGGGCGAGCGUUGCCCGGAAUGAUUGGGCGUAAAGGGCGCGUAGGCGGCCCGUUAAGUCUGAAGUGAAAGUCCUGGCUUCAAGUUGGGAAUUGCUUUGGAUACUGGCGGGCUUGAGUGCAGGAGAGGUUAGUGGAAUUCCCAGUGUAGCGGUGAAAUGCGUAGAGAUUGGGAGGAACACCAGUGGCGAAGGCGACUAACUGGGCUGUAACUGACGCUGAGGCGCGAAAGUGUGGGGAGCAAACAGGAUUAGAUACCCUGGUA